GAUGAACGCUGGCGGCGUGCCUAAUACAUGCAAGUCGAGCGAACAGAUGAGAAGCUUGCUUCUCUGAUGUUAGCGGCGGACGGGUGAGUAACACGUGGGUAACCUACCUAUAAGACUGGGAUAACUCCGGGAAACCGGGGCUAAUACCGGAUAAUAUUUUGAACCGCAUGGUUCAAUAGUGAAAGACGGUUUCGGCUGUCACUUAUAGAUUGACCCGCGCCGUAUUAGCUAGUUGGUAAGGUAACGGCUUACCAAGGCGACGAUACGUAGCUGACCUGAGAGGGCGAUCGGCCACACUGGAACUGAGACACGGUCCAGACUCCUACGGGAGGCAGCAGUAGGGAAUCUUCCGCAAUGGGCGAAAGCCUGACGGAGCAACGCCGCGUGAGUGAUGAAGGUCUUCGGAUCGUAAAACUCUGUUGUUAGGGAAGAACAAAUUUGUUAGUAACUGAACAAGUCUUGACGGUACCUAACCAGAAAGCCACGGCUAACUACGUGCCAGCAGCCGCAGUAA
rnacentral:rRNA from 1 species